rnacentral:rRNA from 1 species
AGUGAACGCUGGCGGUAGGCCUAACACAUGCAAGUCGAACGGCAGCACAGUAAGAGCUUGCUCUUACGGGUGGCGAGUGGCGGACGGGUGAGGAAUACAUCGGAAUCUACUUUUUCGUGGGGGAUAACGUAGGGAAACUUACGCUAAUACCGCAUACGACCUACGGGUGAAAGCAGGGGAUCUUCGGACCUUUCGCGAUUGUAUGAGCCGAUGUCGGAUUAGCUAGUUGGCGGGGUAAAGGCCCACCAAGGCGACGAUCCGUAGCUGGUCUGAGAGGAUGAUCAGCCACACUGGAACUGAGACACGGUCCAGACUCCUACGGGAGGCAGCAGUGGGGAAUAUUGGACAAAGGGCGCAAGCCUGAUCCAGCCAUACCGCGUGGGUGAAGAAGGCCUUCGGGUUGUAAAGCCCUUUUGUUGGGAAAGAAAAGCAGCAGGUUAAUACCCCGCUGUUCUGACGGUACCCAAAGAAUAAGCACCGGCUAACUUCGUG